UACAGUUUGAUCCUGGCUCAGAUUGAACGCUGGCGGCAUGCCUAACACAUGCAAGUCGAACGGAGGUAGGGGCAACUCUACUUCAGUGGCGGACGGGUGAGGAAUGCGUCGGAAUCUACCCUAUGGUGGGGGAUAACACAGGGAAACUUGUGCUAAUACCGCAUGAUGUCGAGAGACCAAAGCAGGGGACCGCAAGGCCUUGCGCGAUAGGAUGAGCCGACGCCCGAUUAGCUAGUUGGUAGGGUAAUGGCCUACCAAGGCGACGAUCGGUAGCUGGUCUGAGAGGAUGAUCAGCCACACUGGGACUGAGACACGGCCCAGACUCCUACGGGAGGCAGCAGUGGGGAAUAUUGGACAAUGGGCGCAAGCCUGAUCCAGCAAUGCCGCGUGUGUGAGGAAGGCCUGCGGGUUGUAAAGCACUUUUGUUCGGGAAGAAAACGGAUCGGUUAAUACCCGGUUCGGAUGACGGUACCGAAAGAAUAAGCACCGGCUAACUUCGUGCCAGCAGCCGCGGUAAUACGAAGGGUGCAAGCGUUAAUCGGAAUUACUGGGCGUAAAGCGUGCGUAGGCGGCUUUUUAAGUCGGAUGUGAAAUCCCCGGGCUCAACUGGGAAUGGCAUCCGAUACUGGGGAGUCAGA
rnacentral:rRNA from 1 species